GCCAAUAGGAUUUAAACUUGUAAUAGAGGCCACGUCGAAGGGAAGCUGAAAGGUGUUGGUUGAUCCUUUCCAAAAGAAGAUUGAAGCUAGAAACAUGCAUGGAUUGUAUUUGGGGCCAGUCCUUCACAUAUUCACCGUAUCAUAAAUGCCCAAUUUCUACCAGUGUUGCUUCUUCUUGGCUUGAACCUUAUUAAGCCACACCAAUCACUCUUUGAUUCAGAGUCGUUGGAGCAGAUCAGAACACGCGAUUGGGGUUGACCAUAAAAGAUAGGUCAAGA
rnacentral:lncRNA from 1 species